rfam:Hordeum vulgare subsp. vulgare, WGS project CAJW01000000 data, contig: morex_contig_1507571
CCUAGUCUCAACCAUAAACGAUGCCGACCAGGGAUCGGCGGAUGUUGCUUAUAGGACUCCGCCGGCACCUUAUGAGAAAUCAAAGUCUUUGGGUUCCGGGGGGAGUAUGGUCGCACAGCUGAAACUUAAAGGAAUUGACGGAAGGGCACCACCAGGCGUGGAGCCUGCGGCUUAAUUUGACUCAACACGGGGAAACUUACCAGGUCCAGACAUAGCAAGGAUUGACAGACUGAGAGCUCUUUCUUGAUUCUAUGGGUGGUGG